ACACAAACAUAAAUUGCAUGUGAAGCAGGAGGUGCAGAUUUUUUUGCUGUUCUUUUCUAAAUCCAGGCUUGAUCACGUGGAGGUAUUUGGAAAACCUUUUUAGCCAGCGGACGACUGUUGUCUCGCAGAAAGUCAAAUCAAAUGUAUGCAAUACAGAAUCAAUUCACAAGAACACAUUAUAAAAAACAAGUCCAGUUCUUGCCUGAUUUCAAGUGAAUUCUGCAUCAAAACAGGGUAACAGAAUUAAAACGAGUGUUUGCAGCAAAUGUGAGCACAAAGCCUCUGUUAAGAGAUUUUGAGAUUUUAUGAUGUUUUUCCUUUUUCAUACAUUUUCCCUUUUAAUGUUUCAUUUACUCAGUUUUCCUUAUAAUGUUCCAUUUACUCAUAUACUUCUGUUAAGAAAGGCCUGAUACUCAUAUGCUUAUGUUAAGAAAGGCUUGAAAAGCACAUAGUGUUCACAUAUCUUUAUGUUUUGUCUUUGCUUCUUCUCACACACAUACACAUGAGCCCUGCCGUAAUCGCUGACUCCUGUAAAAGUAUCUUGCAGACACCCUUGGAAACAGGACCCAACUGGCUUCUGCUUUCCCCGAGAUAGACAAUACACUCACACACACACACACACACACACUGUGUCCCAUACAUGCCCAGAUUGUCUGUUACAGUCUGAAAAAACAGAGAAUGCUACGAUGUAUAAAUAAAGCUGACUGCAAAGCCUCGGUGUGAGUAUCACCCGAUCACUCACCCGUGCGCACGUAGUUCUCUGAACAAAACUCUGACUGUUUCUGUAUUCUUUCAAUGUUUAAAAAUGUCUUGCCACUGACAUUUAAUUGGUCCUUCGAGCCGGAUGGUUUAUUGAUAUUAUUGUAUCAUCUAACUAUUCACAGACGGAGCCACCGGAUCCUGACGUCGUGAGUACCUGCACUGCAACCACCGUUUCUAGCGAAGCGAGGAAAAGCCCAGGGUGUACAUUCACCUACUGGCCAGUGUCUUAUACAGGUCCACGACGCCAGGUUCUCGGUGACGCCGGGAAAAAGAACACAGCGCAACAUUGAAGGUGAAUAUAAAGCAGCCAGAAACACUUUGCGUUGAAUAAUCGAUUUUAGGCUGACACUGCUCGAAGUAGAAGGGUCCUGUGUGGACCGAAAAGGAAAAGGACAGACGUGUCCUAUGUAAUAUGCUCGCCCGUGUAAGACGAAACAACCUGCCCUGUGGGGGCCUGUUUCGCAACAUAAAAAAGGGUUGGUAGCCAGUAUAUCUCACGCUCGCCUGCGUAAGACGGAUUAACACGCCCUGGGAGGCUGAAUCCGCAGCAUAAAAAAAGGUUGGUAGCCACGCUCGCCUGUGUAAGACGGAUUAACAUGCCCUGAGAGGCUCAAUCUGCAACAAAAAUAAAGGCUGCUUUGCUGGCCCUGAAAGCCGAGGCUGACCUGGACUCCUGCUCUCCCCUCUACCACCUUCGACGUGACCCUGACCAAAUGCUGCAGCAGCUGGACUUACAACAACAAUUUCCUGAAAAUGUCAACAGGGCUGCGAUCUUAUGCAGCGGAGACGGAGAGCGUUAAAACCAAGGCCCGUUUCACUACACGGGGGAAAAAUUCCCAGACAGCUUCAGCUGACAGAGCUGUGACGAGACGCCUGCCAAGCCGAAUGACAAGUAAGGCCGAGCAAAAGAAUGCUGACCUUAACAAUUCUGCAUUAACACUGUGCAGGACAGUGAUGGACCAACACGGCAGCAAAAAGGGCGUGCCAGAGACAGGAGGAGCAACUGAGGUCGAAUGGACAAAACACAGAAGAAGAUGCAGUUUUCACCUGCGGUGAGCAUGGACACUGGAGAAAAGGACUGUCCCAAUUGGGGUCAGAACCAGGACAAACUGAACUUUGAACAGCAGCAAUGGUGGCAAGCGGACUGAAAAGGAGGAGGGCAGGACCCCAGGGCACGCUUCAGGCUGUGGUUUACCCAGAACACCAGAACAGGAAAGUGAUGAACACACACACAUCUAUAUACACCGAUUCAGAAUGAAGUGAAAUAUACACAUGAACACAUGUGCACUCGUUGAUAGAGGGAGAAAUGGCACACACACACGCUUAUGCAAUGAAGAAUGCUUUGCUCGCAAAUGCUUGUGCUGACAUGCAAAAUGCUGCACACAAACAUCCCAAUACAUAAUUUUUAUGAGAAGCAAUUGAUUACUUAAAAUGUGUUUUAUGUCACCCAGAGGAUAUUUAUGUAGAUUUAAGGAACAAGGUCUAAAAUUGUCCGGUUAUGAAAACAAUGUCUGUGCGUGAGGUCUGUUUAUGGCUCAAGGUCUUGAUUGAAUUGUCUAUUGUGCUACACACUUCGUAAAUGAAGUGAUAUCAAAAGUCUCUGAAGCACUGGGCUUCAGUAUAAAACAUCACUUCUCAUAUCACCCGCAGAGUACCCAUUACAAGCGAACCGAUAGACAAAUCCAUAAGAGAAACAACACUAGCAGAAUGGAUGACAAAACUGUUAGAAAACAAAGAAAUAGUUUUGAACAAUCAACUGCCAGAUGAUUCUCUUCCAGUCUCUUCCAGGUUGAAACCAGGAGAUUGGAUCCUGAUAAAAGUGCUCCAGAGGAAAAAGUGGAGCUCCCCGAGGUGGGAAGGACCCUACCAAGUCCUCCUGGCCACACCAACAGCCUGCAAAAUUGCUGAACGACCCUCCUGGAUUCAUCAGAGCCACUGUAAAAAAAGUGAGCGACAGUCAACACUAACACGCCAGCACCCCUGCCUGUCAGUGAUCUGGGAGGUGGAGAGAGGGCUGUUUGGGUAAAUCCCGCCCUUGUUCUUCUCGCCCCUAGUCUACUCACUCACAGGACCAGGUGUGUUCGGUCAUCAUGAAGACCCUACUCGUUCUGGUGUCCAGUGUCACAAUUCUGUUGGGACUGCUGUCGCUGAUUUCAGAAGAAGAAGGACAAGAUUGACACAUGACACAAUACAUCCAGACGACAUGACACAAGAUCACAACCACCCAUGGAUGAACAAUGCCUGGUACCGUUAUGUGUACAACUCCACAAGAGACAGAAACUAUUACAUCUGUUCGCACAUGCCUCUUAAUGCAAAACACCUGAUAAUGUGCAUUCCACCAACUUGUCUGACGCACUGAACACGCUACGUCAGCUCAGACGAGUACAGCAGCAAGAUUACACACACAACACCGAGGACUGGCUCACAUGGCUGUUUAGCGGGUCGUGGAAGUCAUUGCUCACUAAAGGACUAACAUUCGUUGGAAUGCUCCUUAUGCUACUUUGCUUAUUUUCCACAUGUGUACUGCCUUGUAUUCGGAGUAUGAUAAGCAAAAUGUUUACUGUAAGAUUGCAAGCUUAUGUUGCAUUAUCUCAAAAUGAACAAGCUCAAGAAGAGGUACAAGUUGAAGAAGAUGAUUUUUAAGCACUAAACUGUGUAAACCCAAUAAAGCUGAUCAUGUACGUUUUCACAAAAUGAUACUCUAGUUGAAAAUGCUUCUGCAAGUAACUAGUAGUUGAAGUACAUAAAUAUAUAUGAACAACAGCAGGGAAUGUUAAGAGAUUUUGAGAUUUUAUGAUGUUUUUCCUUUUUCAUACAUUUUCCCUUUUAAUGUUUCAUUUACUCAGUUUUCCUUAUAAUGUUCCAUUUACUCAUAUACUUCUGUUAAGAAAGGCCUGAUACUCAUAUGCUUAUGUUAAGAAAGGCUUGAAAAGCACAUAGUGUUCACAUAUCUUUAUGUUUUGUCUUUGCUUCUUCUCACACACAUACACAUGAGCCCUGCCGUAAUCGCUGACUCCUGUAAAAGUAUCUUGCAGACACCCUUGGAAACAGGACCCAACUGGCUUCUGCUUUCCCCGAGAUAGACAAUACACUCACACACACACACACACACACACACUGUGUCCCAUACAUGCCCAGAUUGUCUGUUACAGUCUGAAAAAACAGAGAAUGCUACGAUGUAUAAAUAAAGCUGACUGCAAAGCCUCGGUGUGAGUAUCACCCGAUCACUCACCCGUGCGCACGUAGUUCUCUGAACAAAA